rnacentral:rRNA from 1 species
UACGUAGGGGGCUAGCGUUGUCCGGAUUUAUUGGGCGUAAAGAGCGUGUAGGCGGCCAGGUAGGUCCGUUGUGAAAACUCGAGGCUCAACCUCGAGACGUCGGCGGAAACCCUCUGGCUAGAGUCCGGAAGAGGAGAGUGGAAUUCCUGGUGUAGCGGUGAAAUGCGCAGAUAUCGUAAGGAAGACCAGUGGCGAAGGCGGGUCUCUGGACAGUUCCUGACGCUGAGGCACGAAGGCCAGGGGAGCAAACGGG